rnacentral:rRNA from 1 species
AGUGCUAAGGUAGCAUAAUAAUUAGUUUCUUAAUUAGUAACAGGGAUGAAAGGUAUCACUAGGGCACAUGAUAAUAAGUUUAAGGUGAAAUUUUAUUGUUGGUGAAAAUACCGACAUACUACAUCAAGACAAGAAGACCCUAUGAAGCUUUAUGACAAUUUAUUUUAUAUUACUGCAGGAAUAGUCAUUUUUUUGGGGUAAAACUAAAUAAUUUUAUUUAAAGCGUUUAAUUAAAGGAUCCUUUUUGAAGUGUGAAUUAGCUCCUCUAGGGAUAACAGCACCAUUCUAGUGAGAGAUCCUAUCGAUACUA